CCCAGAGUGGUGUAAUGGUAACAUCCCUAGUUGACACAUGGUAAAGACCAUGCCCUUCGGGGGCCGGGGGAUCCAGGUUCGAUUCCUGGUUCUGGGA